CCUACGGGGGGCAGCAGUGAGGACUAUUGGUCAAUGGACGAGAGUCUGAACCAGCCAAGUAGCGUGAAGGAUGACUGCCCUAUGGGUUGUAAACUUCUUUUAUAUGGGAAUAAAACGUUCCACGUGUGGGAUUUUGUAUGUACCAUAUGAAUAAGGAUCGGCUAACUCCGUGCCAGCAGCCGCGGUAAUACGGAGGAUCCGAGCGUUCUCCGGAUUUAUUGGGUUUAAAGGGAGCGUAGGUGGAUUGUUAAGUCAGUUGUGAAAGUUUGCGGCUCAACCGUAAAAUUGCAGUUGAAACUGGCAGUCUUGAGUACAGUAGAGGUGGGCUGAAUGCGUGGUGUAGCGGUGAAAUGCUUAGAUAUCACGAAGAACUCCGAGUGCGAAGGCAGCUUACUGGACUGCAACUGACACUGAGGCUCGAAAGUGUGGGUAUCAAACAGGAUUAGAUACCCUGGUAGUC
rnacentral:rRNA from 1 species